CCUCAUGGCCACCAUGGCAGAGCCACCUGAGGGUUCCAUCCCCUCAUGGCCACCAUGACAGAGCCACCUGAGGGUUCCAUCCCCUCAUGGCCACCUGACAGAGCUUCCUGAGGGUUCUAUCCCCUCAUGGCCACCAUGGCAGAGCCACCUGAGGGUUCCAUCCCCUCAUGGCCACAUGACAGAGCCACCUGAGGGUUCCAUCCCCUCAUGGCCACUAUGGCAGAGCCACCUGAGGGAUCCAUCCCCUCAUGGCCACCAUGACAGAGCCACCUGAGGGAUCCAUCCCCUCAUGGCCACCAUGGCAGAGCCCCUCUGGCUGGGAUGUCAGAAACACCCCACUCCUCCUCACUUCUGUUCUUCAUGGGUAUAAAACACUGGAAAAUACAGAGCAAGGGCUGGUAUUUGGCUCUGUUCAUACUUCAGGAGUUUCUGUGCCCCUCUGCAGGGCAGUGUUUCCGAGGAAUCCAAUUCCACGCUAAAGUUUUCAGCUUGAGGUCUAUGCACUCAUAAAAGAGAGAUAUCAUUUUAAACACCAUUCUAUCCAUCACUUCUGUGCUUCCAUACAAAAGAUUUCCAAGGGCUGUGCCAUUUUUUGCUUGAGCAGGAGACAGAAGCUGCAUAAAGCAAAAGGUUUUGCUCCAUGUUAGCAGUGGAGUUGUGGGCAAAGAGCACAAACACUGGCUCCUGGAUGACUGGACAAGGCAAGCAUGCUGGAAAUCGGCUGUUGCCCAGGUCGAUCUCAGCAGACUCCAGGUCCUUCCGCUGCUCACUGAAAGCCAGGAUCAGGCACACUUUUUCCAUGGAAAGCCUGCUGAAAUGCCUGCCUGAGCGCUUCAGGAUGAGGAUGAGGAUGGCAGGGGCGAGGUCACACGUGAGGAGGAGCAAUUUUUGGCCAUGUGCUGCUGCUCCACGUCAUCCUGGCUGCCCCUGGCUCCCCAGGGAUGCCAGGUUUGAUGUGCCUCAGAGAUUCCACUGGAGAAUUUCCAUGGUGCAUUUCCAUGACUCACUGUUGCUGCCAGCUGAUUCAUCUGUGUGACUCUACUCUGCUUUUUCUCACCGCGGUGCAGAAACAUCCUCUUUUUUUUUUCCCCCCCAGCUGUGUGUGGAACAAUCCUGAUAGCAGCCCUUGCAAACCAGACAAGAAGGGGAACAGAGCUCCAUUAAUCCCGGUUUUUCACGCUGCUCUCUGCCGUUUUCCCGGGAUUUUGCUGUAACUCUGCUCCUCGCAGGCACCCACUCGCUAUUAGGCCUUCCCUCGGCUGCCUGUUCUCCAAGUUUGGAAGGAGCGAGCGCUGGGAGCAGGCUCUGGAUGUGCUCGGAAAUCCUUGUAACCAUGGCAGCCCAGGGUGACUCACGCUGCCACAGGCCCGCGCCCAACUUAGCACGAGGGAUUUUUCUCCCCCCGUCCCUUGUCAGCAGCUCGGUUUCUCUGCCACGAUUGCAUAACUCACUUGUGUUCCUCUGCUUCUGCCCUGCUCUCCUCUCACCUGGAGCUUCCCUGGCAGCUCUGCCUUGGAAGUUGUUCCCCAGGCAGGGAAUGAGGGCUCAGCACAGAGCUGGUCCAUGGGUUUGUCAUCAUACAGCACAAGAAAGCAGAGCAGAAAGUCCCAACAGCCCAGAGGUGUCCUCACGGGUCUGAUCCCCACCCUUCUGGAGCACAGAGCUCCUACAAAUCCCUAAAAUUUAUAACAGAAUAGAAUAGAAUAGAAUAGAAUCAUAUCAUAUCAUAUCAUAUCAUGUAAUGU
ensembl:lncRNA